rnacentral:rRNA from 1 species
ACGGGUAUUAACCGUUAAGCCUUCCUCCCAGCUUAAAGUGCUUUACAACCCUAGAGCCUUCUUCACACACGCGGCAUGGCUGCAUCAGGCUUGCGCCCAUUGUGCAAUAUUCCCC